rnacentral:lncRNA from 1 species
UUAGUAGUGCCCGCCAAAACAUUGGCAAUGGUCUGUUCACAUACACAGUUACCCCCAAACAAGCCAAAUUACAGGCCUUCUUCAUCAAUUCUAUCAACAAACACAGAUCCAACGAAGGAGAUAGGAGGAACUUGAUGGGUUCUUCACCAAAUCUUGCUGGAACCAAUAAGGAAUCAGAUUCCCCAAACGUAAGCUGUCAUGUUUUCAUCGCGUUCUUCCCUUUCCCUGAUCCAUU